AGUUCGAUCAUGGCUCAGAUUGAACGCUGGCGGGAUGCUACACAUGCAGUCGAACGGCAGCACGGACUUCGGUCUGGUGGCAGGUAGCAGGUAGGUGAGUAAUGUAUCAGACGUGCCUACGUAGCGGGGAUAACUACACAGCAGCUAAUACCUCAUACGCCCUUCGGGGAAAGCGGGGGACCUUCGGGCCUCACGCACUAUUAAAACGGCCGAUAUCGGAUUAGCUAGUUGGUGGGGGUAACAGCUCCGCAAGGCGACGUCCGUCGCUGGUUUGAGAGGACGACCAGCCACACUGGGACUGAGACGGCCGGAGCUCUGAGGAGGCAGCAGUGGGAAUUUUGGACAAUGGGGGAAACCCUGAUCAGCCGCCGCGUGUACGUGGCGAGGCAUGGGUUGUAAAGCACUUUUGGCAGGAAAGAAGCAGCGCAGGAUAAUACCCCGUGCAACUGACGGUACCCUUACAGAAUAAGCACCGGCUAACUACGUGCCAGCAGCCGCCGGUAAUACGUAGGGUGCAAGCGUUAAUCAGGUGCACGGGCGCAGCACGACCAUAGUUCGGUUCAAGAAGAAGAAAGAUGUAAUCCCAGAGCUUUAACUGGAACUGCAUUUUUUGCUACCGAGCUAGGUGUCAGAGGAGGUGGGAAUUCGACAUUUCGCACCGGUAAAUGCGUAGAUAUGCCGGAGGAACACCGAUGGCGAGGCAACCUCCUGGGAUAACGCUGACGCUCAUGCACGUGGGAGCAAAACGGAGUUAGAUACCCUGGCGUAAGUCCGCCUAAACGAUGUCAACUAGCUGUUGGACGUACGGGCCGUAGUACAGCGCAGCUAACGCGUGAAGUUGACCGCCUGGGGAAUACGGUCGCAGAUUAAAACUCAAAGGAAUUGACGGGGACCCGCACAAGCGGUGGAUGAUGUGGAUUAAUUCAGUUGCAACGCGAAAACCUGCCUACCCUUGACAUGUCUGGAAUCCCGAAGAGAUUUGGAGUGCUCGCAAGAGAACCGGAACUGGCAGGUGCUGCAUGGCUGUCGUCAGCUCGUGUCGUGAGAUGUUGGGUUAAAUCCAUAACGAGCAUGGCCGCCAAUCAUUAGUUGCUACGAAAGGCGCUUCUAAUGAGACUGCCGGUGACAAACCGGAGAAGGGUGGGGAUGACGUCAAGUCCUCGCCAGCCUCUGGGUAGAACUACGUGUAAUGGUCGGGACAGAGGGUCGCCAACCCGCGAGGCCAAUCCCGAAACCCGAUCGUAGUCGGAUCAGUCUGCAACUCGACUGCGUGAAGUCGGAAUCGCUGGCGUAAUCGCGAGAUCAGCAUGUCGCAGUGAAUACGUUCCCGGGUCUUGUACACACCGCCCGUCACACCAUGGGAGUGGGUUUUACCAGAAGUAGUUAGCUAACCGUAAGGAGGGCGAUUACCACGGUAGGAUUCAUGACUGAAGGUGAAGUCGUAACAAAUUAA
rnacentral:rRNA from 1 species